rnacentral:rRNA from 1 species
AGCAGCCGCGGUAAUUCCAGCUCCAAUAGCGUAUAUUAAAGUUGUUGCAGUUAAAAAGCUCGUAGUUGAAUUUCGGGAUUGGCGCAUCGGUCGUGCCUUACGGGGUAUGAACUGGUGCAGUCAAUUUCUCACCUUCUGGAGAACCGCGAUGUCCUUAAUUGGGUGCCGCGGGGAACCAGGACCUUUACUUUGAAAAAAUUAGAGUGUUUAAAGCAGGCAUUUUUGCUUGAAUACAUUAGCAUGGAAUAAUAAAAUAGGACGGCAUGGUUCUAUUUUGUUGGUUUCUAGGACCACCGUAAUGAUUAAUAGGGAUAGUUGGGGGCAUUAGUAUUCAAUUGUCAGAGGUGAAAUUCUUGGAUUUAUUGAAGACUAACUACUGCGAAAGCAUUUGCCAAGGAUGUUUUCAUUAAUCAAGAACGAAAGUUAGGGGAUCGAAGACGAUCAGAUACC